CGUCGCCCCGGAGCGCUCCGGUGUCGGCGGGACGAGGGGCACGGCGCGGGUUCCGGGGGCACCGCCGGCGGCUCCGGCCGGGCUCCCCGCGGGGACAGCGGCCGUUGCAGCUCCCAGCGCUGCGCCCAGCAGCUGCCGCCGGCCCCGCCGCGGGCUCCCGCCCCGCCCCGCCCCGCUCGAGGCCGCCGGCGCGCGGGGGGCGCCGGCGCGGGAAGGAGCGGCCGUGAGGGGCGGGGGGGCGGCUCCGGCCGGGCCGUCGCCUCCCAGAGCUGCCCCGUGGCGGCGGCCGGCCCUGAGGUGAAGUAACGACCGGCCCGGCCUGCGGGGCAGCGCCCGGGGGCUGUGAGGGGAGCUCCGCGGGGCCCCCCGGUCGCCGCCCGUCCGCUCCUCCCCGGGGCUUCGGGCUCGGGCGCUGCCUGCCGGCGGGUCGGCGGCGGCUCUGGGCCGCGCCUCGGGCGAGUGAGGGGAGGCCGCGCCGGGUCCAGUCCCCUUCAGCAGCCACCUGCGUCCCGUUCCCCGGGGAGGGCGAUCCACCCGGGAUAACCGAGCUCCCCAGCGCUCGCUGCCACCGUGGCAUGUCCAGCGUGGCACACCGACGGCAGGGACUGAACGCCCCGGUAGGGUGAACAUCUGACACCCAGGCCCAUAGCCGGGCCGUACCCCUGCAUGGCGGCCCAAGGCGCCUCAGCCGUGGCAGGUGCAGCCUGGCCGCCCCACUCGGCCUCCGGGCCGGCCCCUGCCCCGCUGCAGGCCGCUGGGUGCUGGGCGGUGCCGGGGGGGUCUGCCGCUACCUGGGGAGUUCGUGUGGCUCUGCUGGGCGGGGGAAGGGUAAGACUGCUCCUCCAAAACCCACCGCCAUACUCGGCUUGCGAGCGCUCUCUGCUCGGAUGGGUCAAGAUGAGCGCAGGUCAGGAUUAAGUCUUUAAUUCUUCGGCUGGGUGUAAAUCGGGGGAUUCAGAGCUGGUAAUUUUCCAAGGGAAGAGUUAAAUUGUAGUGGUGUCCAGUUAAAAUAAUGACUUUUACUUGUGCUUCCUUCCUCCCCCAGCCCUGCAGAGCUGUACUCCUGUCGGGUAUGAUGUGCCUUACUGAGUAAUGCCGUCCAACGUGUAAAGUGGGGAAACGCUGUUAUCGUUUGAGCAAAGAUUAUUGCAGGGUAUAUGUGGGAGGGACUGUAAUCUAGUGGUUAGGGCAUGGGAAUACAAUCCUGGUCGUUUGAGUUAUGUUCUGAACUGUGACUCACCGUGUGUGUUUGUGGUUUCAGCAAAUCAUUUAUGGCCUCAGACAAAGCAGAUUUUUCCAUUAAUUUAAAUGAAUUGUAGAUUAAACAGGUCUUCGGUGGCAGAAGAAUCAACCAUUCUAUGAUUCAAAAUUAAGAUCACCUAUCUACCACAUAGGUGUUUCAGUAGUUAUAUAAACACAGCGUGCCCUGGAAUAUUACAAAGGGUAAAUUAUUGAUAGCAGGAAAGUGUUUAGAGACACUUGCCUUAAACACAGUGCCAAAGCGAGCUGUGUUCCCUAAUCCUAACCUUAACUGUAGGCUGAGCCUUCGACAAGGCCCCCAACCGCGGCCUAGACAAAAAAGUUCUCACAGCACGGUGCUCUUUGCAGCCAGUGUUUUGCUUUGGCAGUCCCCCUCUCAGCCCUCUGCAGCUGCAGUUCUGUGUUUUCUCUUCCUCUCAACCCGAACCCUUACCCUGGCACACCGGCUGAGCCUUUAGCAAGUCCCUAAGUCAUUGCCCAGGUGAAAAGUUCUCACAGCAGCAUGUUCAGGGAUGUUUGCCUGAACACCAGGGUCAAAGCGAGCAGUACCGCAAUGCUCCAGUCUCAUGUGUGAUCCCGUGCCUUGCCUGUUUCAGCAGCAUUUAGGCAUGCAUUAUAAACGCUGGGUGGUGGAAAGGAUUUUUAUGCACUGUCUGCUCCAAAUAUCACAGGACAGCUGGAGCUGGAAGGGACUUUGGGGAUCAUCCGUCUAGUCCAUCACACUCAUGUGAAAACAGCUGCCGCGGUCCACGCUGCUGCAGAAGAAGAUGGCAGGCGGAGGCUGUGCUGCCGCAGCGUGCCGCGGGUGCAGCAGCUUCUAAUGCAUCUGGCUGUAGACCUGCCUCGAGAACUAAAUAAAUCUUGGGCUGGUGAUAUGUACUGGAUCCAUCACGUGAUUUGUACUGAAAUCCCUCAGGGAGAGGAGAACGAUGCGAACGAAUACCACUGGGGACAGACAGGUUACGUGACAUGCUCAAGAUCACAUGAGCAGUCUGUGUCAGAGUGAGAAACUGCACCUGGAUCUCUCCAUUGUGAGGCUGUUGCUCUUGGCACUGCAUCCUCCUGACUGUAAACAACACAUCCAGAUUGACUUUGCCUGUGUCCUUUCUAUGCCUACAAAUGUGCCCAGCUUUGACUUUAGAGCCAGCAAUCCCUGCAGUGCGCAUGAGGCAAGCCUGGCACUUCCACAUGAGGACCAAAACAUUCAGCGUGGUGGCCAGAGAGGCUGAUAGGGAAAUUUAAAGUCUUAAAUGCUACUGCUGCAACGACCCAGCCGACAGCUCCUCUGGAAGUGCAUCCCAAAGCCACGGACCCUCCAGCAAAUGCAGACUCCAGCUGCCUGUCCACUCCAGGGAUGAGCUCUGCAGUGGCUGAUGACUGCACCCAAGAACACCUAGCUACAAAGCACCAAAAGAUGUUUGUCUGGCUCUUGACGGGCUGUUGCAUCCUUGGUACUCCACCUGCAUGUUCCGAGAGUGCUGCGGCGCUGGAUAAAUGCAGACAAAGAGAGGCUCAGGCUCAUUCAGAGCGACACUGCUGUCACGCUGAAUAUGUGCCAGGUUUUAUGUUGGUGUCACAGAACCUAACAUGCUGAGAUAGGGGACGAAAUCUGGUGCCUUUUCUGAGCAUUUGCUGUUGCUCGGACAACAAGAAGCUUACAGAAGGGCUGGGUCAUCUGGGGCUUUGGUGGUGGGGGGCACUUGGGCCUGUGACUCAUGGGAGUGACCUGUGUCUCUCCAGAGACUGGCAGGUAAAAAUAUCCCGGCGCGUCUCAGGGAGUGCCGUGUUCUUUGCUUUUCCUGCGGCGCUGAGAUGCCUGGCAUUGCAGCCAGUGCUGUUUGGAGGCAUGGUCUCGAGGACCCUUGCCCCACAUUUGCAGUGUGGUUCUGCUGGGACUCAGCAGCCAACUCUGAUUAUUAUUUUUUCCAUGGCAGCUAGCUAGUUUGCUGAACUUUUGGCAGCCUGGGCUGCUGGACAAGUGGCUGCACAUAAAUAGUGCACAGCACAGCGUGCCGGGUGGGACUCGGCCGCGUGCACUGUAGCAGCCCAUGCACACUGUGGGGUUGCACUGCACAUACACACUCGGUAUCUGUCCUGGUCUCUUGAGUUCCCCCCCGGUGCUGUGUCUGAUCCUGGAAGGCUGUCCCCGGCACACCCCAGUGCACAGGCUGCUGCGUACCUCUACGCUGGGGUAGGUCCAGGGCUAGACAUGGGCUGUGGUUUUUGAUCUGCACCAAAGAGAUCAUGGUGGCAGGUAAAUCCUGAGGCAGGGGUUGGGUUUGGAGGCUGGAUCUCAGGCGUUACGUUCAUAUUUCAGGCCAGAGCAAUGGUUUCAUCAGAAGGCCUCUCAACGUGUUACAUUGCCACCACAAGAAUGUGUGAGUUGCAUAUAUCCAAAACAGAGCUGAGAAAUAGUCUUUCUUAUGCUAGCUCUGAACUGAGGAGGCUUUUGCAGAUUUGACUCCAGUGUAUUAACAGCAGGACUUUUUCUGCUUAAUUUGAAGAUCUGGGAGAGAAAGUUCAGUUCUUUUAUCCUUAAAUAUAAAACCUCUGAAGUCUCUUGACUGUCUGGACUUGUGAUGCAUACUCAGAAUUCAUUCUUGUUAUAAAUAAAUAAUUGGCAGGUGAUGCUGUAGAGAUAACAGCUUCCAUUAUUUUGAGGAAUCAUUAACUCCAGCGAGGUCUCCCUGAUCAACAGCUAUUUAGAAAAAAAAAAAUCAAACCCCACUACAAAACCACCCACAAAAUAAUAUCAGUUGGAAGGCAUAUUUGGAGGGCUGCACUCCAACCUCCUCAAAGCAGGGCUAACUUCAACGUUAGCUCAGGUAGCUCAGGGCUUCGUCCAUUAAAAUUCUGAAAUCUCCAAGGAUGGGGAUUUCACAGACCUCUCUGGGCACCUGUUCCAGUUUAGCCACUCCUACUUUGAAAAAAAUCUUCUAUGAUGUCCAGUGGAAUUUCUGCUGCUGCAACUCACGGUCAUUGCUGUUGUGCUGUGCGCCUCUGGAGAGCCUGGCUCUGUUCUCGCUCAGGGAGCGAUGAGGUGCCUCCCCGCAGAGGCGUGCUGCCAGCGCCUCUUCGGCCUUUUGUCCAUCAGGGCCCCAGGGCCUUAUUGUAGCAAAGCUGCUUUCUCUAGCCGCUUGCUUCCCAGCCUGUGCUGUCACACCCCUGUGCUGUGUCAGGUGCAGACUUUACGUUUGUCCUUGCAGAAUUUCAGAGGAUUUUUUUCAGACUCGUCUUCCAGAUUGCUGAAGACCACCUGAAUGGCUGCCUUGUCCUGCAGCAUAAUAACCUACAGCCCCUAUUCAGUGUCACGCACAAACUUGCGGAGGGACCGUUCUGCUCUGUCGUGCAGGUCACUGGUGGAGACUGGCCCUAGCAUUGCCGCUCAAGGAAUGCCGUCUGUUAAUGCCAAUGAAACAUCUAGUUGUUGACCAUUAUUAUCCUUUGAGCUUCGUGGCCCAGCUCUGAGCUUUUUUCAGCCGGGUUGUGGUCUGUCCGUUCAGGCAAUACCACCCCAGUUUGGCCCAUAUGGGAGACAAUGUCAAAUGCCAUGCUAAAACCAGUGACAUCCGCUGCUUCCCCCACCUUCACCUUGUCCGUCCAGCCUGUCACUCCAGCACAGAUGAUAAGCACGCUGGGCCCGUACAAUUUGUCUGUAGUGGAUCCAUGCUGACUGUUCCUGGCUACCUUCUUGUACCUGAACAUGGCUUCUGUGUGGACUUGCUCCGUGAUACUCCCAGGAAAAAUGAACUGAUAUCUUAUGUGAGACAUCUUCAUCUUUGCUAAUGUUUUGGCUAACCCCUUUCAGCAGAAGCCUGUUGAUUACGUGUUGAGUUUGUGAGACCUUCAGCUUGAGCCUGCAGUGUUGGUUGAGAGUUUUUGGUAGGGAGUCGUUGAGCAGGUCAAAUUCAGAAGUAACCUAACCAAGACACACCUAUUUCUCCUCUGUUGGGAAUCCUUUUCGUCCCAGCCUUGCCACCAAGGAUGAUCUUCGUGCCGUUGUUGCCAUGGCCUUUGCGUUACCUGAGGGCAGGAGCCCUAAGGGGAGGAAACGGGAAAAGAGAAGGAACGAGGCUGCCGGGCCAAGAGACAGUGGAGUGUGGCCCCUGGCAAGGAUUCAGCAAGUUUCAGUAAAAGGAAGAAAUCAGGAAGAAGAAAGGGUAAAGUCACCUGCAUGGAGUGCUAGGGAUAGGCAUGGUUGUUUCUAGAAAGCAUGAGUAGUUCAGUCAACUGGAAGGGCCGGGCACUUGCCAAAAUACACAUUUGCACAAUGGCCUGUAGUAGUUUGAAUUCACAGAAGACCGUUGAGUUUCACUGGAUGGAACUUUGGCUCGCUGGGAUGUGGAGCACAAUGCUGGGGUGAGUUCUGCUACAGAAAGUAAGAAACAAAAUGUCUGGAAAUCUGCUCAGUCUGACUGCGGAGCCAGAGCAGGGUGCACACUGCUUUGCUAAGCGGCUGUGCCCUUGGACGGCUGGAGGCUCACUGCUGCCACCGGGGCCUGGCUGCAGCCAUGGUGCCAGCUCCCAGCCAGGGGGGCGUCUGUGGCAUCCCCUGCCUCGCCGGGGGCUUCCCCACGGGCUCCGGCGCCUGGAGCCCCCCCGGCCCCCUCCUGCCCUGGCCUGGGGGGCUGCAGGGCUGUUGCUCUCCCACGGGCUCCCUCCCCUCUCCCCCUGCAGCUGCUCUUGCGCAGGAACUUUCCCCCUUUUGAAACCCGUUAUCCCAGAGGCGCUGCCAGCGUCGCUGCCGGGCUCGGCCUUGGCCAGCAGCGGGUCCGGCUGGGAGCCGGCUGGCAUCGGCUCCAUCGGGCACGGGGGAAGCUGCUGGCACCUUCCCACAGAAGCCACCCUGUGCCCCCGCGAACACAGCCCUCCACACAAACCCACUGCAGAUGGAAGCUCUGCGCAGGCACUGGGCCCGCCUCACAGGGGGCCUUGGGGGAUUCCCUGCAGCCUUCAUGGCUGGAAAGAUGGGCAGAGCCGGCACAUCCCCUGUGACUGCAGCCGGACCGUGUACUUGCUAUUGGGGCACAAGGGAGGUGCAGCGGUGGGAGGUAGUGACCAUGUAGGAACACUUGGGCGUCCAGCGUCGGGCAUGUCUGGCUGAUUGGAAGAACAUGCGUAACACUGUCAUCUUCUGUUGUACCCAUACUAAUGUGAUUGUAUUUCUGGGGUGGGCUUACAUUUGUAAUCUCCUUACUAGCACAUUAGAAGACCUGUAACAGUGACGGACAGAAAAGGAACUAGGACGUUCGUGUAGUGACAGUGCUGCUGUGGAGCCAUGUCUCACGAAGGAGACAGUCUCAGGGUUUAGAUUCCUCCGCACGGCAGGCUGAGGUUUCCCGGUCCCAAGAGAUACUAUCGCAAGGUGUGGUGCCCUGUUCGGAGUCUAGCAAGAAAGUAACACUUAUUCACCCACUCGCCCACCUUUGGCAGAUGGUCUGAGGGUCUCCCCUUGGCUUUGUGACAGACAGUGGUUGAUUCACCUCUGCCCAGUGGUAAUUAUGCGUUGCUGCCAAUUGGAAGUUCCCAUGCUGGCAUCGGAGUGGCAUGCAACAUGUCAGCUAAUGGAGAGAUUGCUGCCGCGGUUAGCAACAGCCACGCCAUACACUGGGACACUUACUGCGGCAGCAGUUUUGUUUCUGGCCCUGGCAGCAGGACUAUGCAGCCUCCAGACCCGUGUGUGUUUGGGGCCAGCGUUCCUCUUCUGAGACUCUGCUCCCCACUGAGACCAUAUGCAGGCCAGUGUGCGGGGCUGCAGAAGGGAACUGGGGAAGCUGCUGUGCUCUGCUGACAGGCGUUACCGCAUACCAGCUGCUCCGAGCGCGGUGCAGGUUAUGUACCCGUUCACCAGCCUUUCAGCUUAGCGGGGGGCUGUAACCUGCGUCAGGUGACGGGCUGGGUUUCACAGGGUUCUCCAAGAGCUUGUCUUGGUCAGUGCUACUGAGAGCCAGUGAGCUGGGGCACCCAGAUCCCUCUGGUGUUGUCAGCAUCCCCGUUUUGCUCCCUUCAGGCAUAUAUGGAAGGUGUCGACCACCAGCACUUCUGCAUGUCGAUGCCCAUGUACUCCGAAGCGCCUGCCUUCAGAAACAAUGGAAGGGCACUGCCCCCCGCCCUUGAAAGGAAACACGGGGUCUGUGUGCUUCAACUCGCCGACGGCUGCUGCUGUGACACAGGCUUUGGGAGCUCCGUCUGGCUCAGCUUUGGCUGCCACUGCCUGACUGCCUGCGCCUUGCCCUUGGGAGCCCAGUGCUGCCACCAAGGUGAGGUGACCCUGGUUUGGCUGCUGUCGAGCCGUGCCUCACCUUUGUGCUGCUUUGAGCUGAACAGAGGGGACUUUACCUCCCCUUCUUGUAUCAGGAAGGUCAGUCUCCUCACAGACUGCCUUUUCUUUUGAAUCUAUGCAUUAAAAGGCAUCAUAAAAUGCUGUAAUAGGGGUGCAA